rnacentral:rRNA from 1 species
CCCUUAGAUGUUCUGGGCCGCACGCGCGCUACACUGAUUCAUGCAACAAGUUUUGUCCUUGGCUGAUAGGCCUGGGUAAUCUUUGAACGUGAAUCGUGAUGGGGAUAGAUGAUUGCAAUUAUUCAUCUUCAACGAGGAAUUCCUAGUAAACGCAAGUCAUCAGCUUGCAUUGAUUACGUCCCUGCCCUUUGUACACACCGCCCGUCGCACCUACCGAUUGAAUGGUCCGGUGAAAUCUUCGGAUCUGAGAGAUGUCUGAUUAAUUUCGGACGCCUUUUGGAAAAGUUGUUUAAACCUUACCAUUUAGAGGAAGGUGGAGUCGUAACA